CCUACGGGGGGCAGCAGUGGGGGAUAGUGCACAAUGGGGGAAACCCUGAUGCAGCGACGCCGCGUGAGUGAAGAAGUAUUUCGGUAUGUAAAGCUCUAUCAGCAGGGAAGAAAAUGAAAGUACCGGACCAAGAAGCCCCGGCUAACUACGUGCCAGCAGCCGCGGUAAUACGUAGGGGGCAAGCGUGAUCCGGAUUUACUGGGUGUCAAGGGAGCGUAGAGGGUUAUGGUAGUCUGGAGUGAAAGCCCGGGGCCCAACCCCGGGACGGCGUUGUAAACGGUGUAACUGGAGUACAGGAGGGGCAGGCGGCAUUCCUGGUGUCGCGGUGAAAUGCGUAGAUAUCAGCAGGAACCCCG
rnacentral:rRNA from 1 species